AGUGAGCGCUGGCGGUAGGCCUAACACAUGCAAGUCGAACGGCAGCACAGUAAGAGCUUGCUCUUACGGGUGGCGAGUGGCGGACGGGUGAGGAAUACAUCGGAAUCUACUUUUUCGUGGGGGAUAACGUAGGGAAACUUACGCUAAUACCGCAUACGACCUACGGGUGAAAGCAGGGGAUCUUCGGACCUUGCGCGAUUGAAUGAGCCGAUGUCGGAUUAGCUAGCUGGCGGGGUAAAGGCCCACCAAGGCGACGAUCCGUAGCUGGUCUGAGAGGAUGAUCAGCCACACUGGAACUGAGACACGGUCCAGACUCCUACGGGAGGCAGCAGUGGGGAAUAUUGGACAAUGGGCGCAAGCCUGAUCCAGCCAUACCGCGUGGGUGAAGAAGGCCUUCGGGUUGUAAAGCCCUUUUGUUGGGAAAGAAAAGCAGCAGGUUAAUACCCCGCUGUUCUGACGGUACCCAAAGAAUAAGCACCGGCUAACUUCGUG
rnacentral:rRNA from 1 species